rnacentral:rRNA from 1 species
AACACAUGCAAGUCGAGCGGAAAGGCCCUUUCGGGGUACUCGAGCGGCGAACGGGUGAGUAACACGUGAGUAAUCUGCCCUCCACUUUGGGAUAACUGCCUGAAAGGGUGGCUAAUACCGGGUAUUCUCCUUGCGCCGCAUGGUGUGGGGUGGGAAAGUUUUUUCGGUGGGGGAUGUGCUCGCGGCCUAUCAGCUUGUUGGUGGGGUAAUGGCCUACCAAGGCUUUGACGGGUAGCCGGCCUGAGAGGGUGACCGGCCACACUGGGACUGAGACACGGCCCAGACUCCUACGGGAGGCAGCAGUGGGGAAUAUUGGACAAUGGGCGGAAGCCUGAUCCAGCAACGCCGCGUGAGGGAUG